rnacentral:rRNA from 1 species
ACGGGGUGCAGCAGGCGCGAAACCUUUACAAUGUACGAAAGUGUGAUAAGGGAAUCCGAAGUGCUAGUACUUUUAGUAUUGGCUUUUUUCAAAGGUAAAAACUUUGAAGAAUAAGUGGUGGGCAAGACCGGUGCCAGCAGCCGCGGUAACACCGGCGCCACAAGUGGCAUCCGUAUUUACUUGGCCUAAAGCGUCCGUAGCCUGUUUGAUAAAUCUCUUGUGAAAUCGUCAAGCUCAACUUGACGACGUGCAGGAGACACUGUCCGACUUGGAACUGGGAGGAGUCAGAAGAAUUUCUUGGGGAGCGGUAAAAUGCUAUAAUCCUUGAAAGACUACCUGUGGCGAAGGCGUCUGACUAGAACAGAUUCGACGGUGAGGGACGAAAGCCAGGGGAGCGAUCCGGAUUAGAUACCCGAGUAGUCCUGGCUGUAAACUCUGCGAGCUAGGUGUUGCGCAUUCUUCGAGAGUGCGCAGUAUCGUAGCGA